GUGUCAGCAGCCGCGGUAAGACGGAGGGAGCAAGCGUUGUUCGGAUUUACUGGGCGUAAAGGGCGUCUAGGCGGGCUGGCAAGUCAGGUGUGAAAUCCCCCGGCUCAACCGGGGAUCUGCACUUGAUACUGCUGGUCUCGAGUACGGAAGAGGGAAGCGGAAUUCCUGGUGUAGCGGUGAAAUGCGUAGAUAUCAGGAAGAACACCGGUGGCGAAGGCGGCUUCCUGGUCCGAUACUGACGCUAAAGCGCGAAAGUGUGGGGAGCAAACAGGAUUAGAUACCCUGGUAGUCCACACUGUAAACGAUGGAUACUAGGUGUCGGGGGUAUCGACCCCCCCGGUGCCGAAGCUAACGCAUUAAGUAUCCCGCCUGGGGAGUACGGUCGCAAGGCUGAAACUCAAAUGAAUUGACGGGG
rnacentral:rRNA from 1 species